AGCAGCCGCAGUAAUUCCAACUCCAAUAGCGUAUAUUAAAGUUGUUGCAGUUAAAAAGCUCGUAGUUGAAUUUUGAAUUCUUCCAAUUGGUCCAUCUUUUAGAUGAAUACUGGUUGUGUGGGGUCUAUUUGCCUGGUGAUACGUAAUGUCCUUUAUUGGAUGUUGCGAGUAGUCAGGACCUUUAUCUUGAAAAAAUUAGAGUGUUUAAAGCAGGCUUAUGCUGGAAUACAUUAGCAUGGAAUAAUAGAAUAGGACGAAGUUGUUUUAUUUUGUUGGUUUCUAGGACAACCGUAAUGAUUAAUAGGAAUAGUUGGGGGCAUUAGUAUUCAAUUGUCGGAGGUGAAAUUCUUGGAUUUAUUGAAGACUAACUAUUGCAAAAGCAUUUGCCAAGGAUGUUUUCAUUAAUCAAGAAUGAAAGUUAGGGGAUCGAAGAUGAUCAGAUACUGUCGUAGUCUUAACCAUAAACUAUGCCGACUAGGAUCGGGCGAUAUUGUUUCCAUGAUCGCUU
rnacentral:rRNA from 1 species